GGCAUAGUCGCUUGUUCUCCGCCCGCGGUGGACCAGCUGCGUAACGGUUCACACACUGAUGGCGCCUGGAGGUUUGGCGAAAUACUGACAGGAUGCGACGUCAACGGGAGCGCAGGGCCAAGAUACCCUUUAUAUCAAACCGUCUAUCCUGGAGCAGAAAAAUCCUGUCUUCAUUGCUAUAGCUACAGAUUCAGAAAUGAGCAUGUAACAAAUUCAGGCCAAAGAGAGGCAAUGGAAAUCAGAGAAACACUGUUCCUGAAAGCUUCUGUCACUCAAGAAUCCAUGAAACAUUCAUGAACUUCACAUCAGAAGCCAAGCCCAGAAAAUAUGGGUUUAAGGUUUGCCUAUAUGUCCAAUACAAGAGAAAAAAGAACAUUCCACUUCUUUAGAAGGUUCUACUUUGAUCUCCUGAUUCCAGUUGUGAAAAAAAAUUGUGCCUAAAGAAUAUAGUCCCUUUAUAGAAUUGUUUUGAAACCUACCACAGGUAUUUCUACACAGGAAGAUUUCUGUAUUUGUCUUCUUAACUCUUGAGUUUUGUUGUUGCUAAUAUUGGAUGAAGAGGAGACAAAAUGAUUGGAUCUAGAGGAGCACCGACAAGCAAAUGGCAGAGUCCUCAGAAGGGAAGAUAGUGUUAAUGUAGAAUUGAUAACACAGAAUGCACCACUGCUGUGAUCCUUAUAUCUUGGCUGGCCAUUACCCCUCCACUUGGAAAUGAAAAAGAUAAACUAAUUGAAGCAGUGAGAAGAGAAAAAGGGAGAGGAAGGUUCCUCUUUGCCUUCAACCAUGAGUAACAGCUCCCUGAGGCCUCCCCAGAAGCUGAGUAAUGCUGGUGCCAUUCUUACACAGCCUGCAGAACCGUGCUAUUGUGGAGGUGCAUACCCAACAGUUUGAUAAUGUAGAGGAAGUGAUAGCUUUGUCUCGUGGAAUCUGGGUCGACCUCACAGAGGAGCUGUUAUUUGUUCUGGAUAUUGAACAGUGACAAGGAUUCAGUGGGAGAGAAAGAGGCGAGGAUUUUAAUGCAACUUGUUACACAAGAUGAACCCAAACAUAUUUGACUUUUUAUUUUCAGAAAAGCUUAAUACAUAGUUUUGAAUAUGGAUUGUCCCACAGGAUAAAUGCAUGAAAAAAGUUGGAAAAGAGAAAUUGAAUUACAUCCUAAUUGUAGUGUUUUCUCAGGCAGAUCAAUUUUAGAAAGAGAACAUUGACUUGGAAAACUGAAGAGUAAUUAUUCUAAAACGGUUGUAACAGUUUACUCCUUUUAUGUUUGCAAACUUCCAGGAUUAGUGAGUUGCAUAAAGUCACAUAAUUUAUUGCGUUGGUGCAAAAGUAAUUGUGGUUUUUGCCAUUAACAAAACCGCAAUUACUUUUGCAUCAGCCUAAUAUAAGUGAAUAAAUUAAUAUUAGAACACAGGUCUAAUUAAAAGGUUCUGCUGUGUUGUGUCCUGUGAUAACACAGAAAACAAACAAAUGGAUAAUUACAGAAAAAUUUUGGAUAUAAAAUUAGCAGGUAAUUUUCUCCCUCCUUUCCUUCCAUCUUUCCAUCCUUCUUUGCUUCCUUUGCUUUCUUCUUUUCCUUUGUUUUUUGUUUCUCUCUCUCUCUUUUUUUUUUUUUUUUUUUUUUUUUGCAAUUUGGAGAAGGAAGUACUUUAAAAGAAAAGUUAAAAGGCAGACAUAGAUAGCAUGAAGCCUAAUUGCAAGAUCUUUUUCAAACAUAUUAGUUUUAGGAAAUAGCACCUGAAUUUAAGUCCCUUAAAAUUGUCUAUGUCUUCACGUCCAAGUCUCUAUAUUUGCAGGGCUGUGUACAAUCUAGACUGAACAUGCUUGACCUAAAAACAGAAGUAAUACCUGGGGCAAAGCACGAUGUGCACCACAGUCUUCUCUCUUUAGUGUGUUAAGAUAAAGUUGAUUCCCAGAGUAGCCUGCCAUCACUAACUCUGAGGGAUGGUGGGCUAAUUUUGAUAGAAGGAGCAGAGGUGGUAGUUAGGAGGAAGGUGACUCAUCAUCAUUGUAUCAGCAGGCAUUGAUGACUGGAAAUAUCAGGGGGCACAGCCUGAAAGAGAAUGGCUUAAUUGGAAUUGAUAGUGGGAACUUGGAAAUCAAUACAUAUGCACUGAACAGAAAAUGGUAUGCUAUAAUCUACUAUACACUGUAUGUGAAACCCAAGCUCCAAAUUUUUCGGCCCAUGCAAUGUCCAGUAAAAUUUCUCUUAGUUACAUUAUAAUUGCAAUGUACAUGUAUUUGAGGAAAAAAAAAGUGAAAGAAAAAGUAACUAAAGAAAAGUGGAAAUGCAAAACUUUGUUUUUAUUAAUGUUAAAAUUUAUUUUGAUCAACUUGCUAUUCUUAAAAUUGACCAAUCUUCUUCCCUUCCUUGCCUCUUCCAUGGUUUAUAGGAUUAUUUUUCAGGGCUGAUCAGUUGGUGUUACAUGUGACUACUAUGCUUAAUGCUAUCUGGCUUCUAACUUUAAGCACUGAAAAAAAGUCCUUCGUAUUUCUCAGUGUGUGAUUGAACUGAGAUGACCAUCCUAAGCCUCCUCAUUACAUAAAUCCUUACCUUCUCCAGAAGCAACGAAUGGUGUUGAGAAUAGCAUAUGUUACUACUCAGCCAUAUUCCAUAGCCUUUUCUCCAAGAUAUUUUUCCAAAGUUGCCCCUUUUCUGAAUCCCUUGCAAGCAAACAAACAACAAAACAAUGGGUAAUAAAAUAAUUGUUUAACUUUCAUUUAUAUGCUCUGAGAUUGAUGUGAUUUUGAUAAAUAACUAUAUUAAAAGACAAAUGGGAGUGGUGAUUUUGUGAAAAGCCCAUGCCUCUGCCCAUGGAAUAUGUGGCUUGGCCUGGAGCUCUUAUUUUACUUAUAUAUUUCUAAGCAGAAUUAUUCAAGAAUGUCUCUUAUUACAGGUCUUGAAACUUGGACAGCCAACAGAAAGGAAGCUAAUAAAUAAAUUUGUCAGAACACGAUUCUCAGUUUCACUUAUUUUGAAUUAAAGGUAACCUGGAAAAUGGAUUAGGAAAACAGCCUAUAAUCAGAGGAGUGACCCCAGUGAGACCCUGUCAUUAAAACUUUAGUGUUGAGCCUGCAAACCUCUGUUCCUCUGAUUAGGCAAUUUACUCCAUUUCCACCUUUCUGUCUGCCAAAACAUUUAGUGGCAAAACAUUUUCUAAUUCUCUAGACUCAUAAAAUGUUGUUUUGAAAAAAAGUAAAACAGAAUGGAUUACCUUUUUAAGCUGUCUAUCAUAAUGUAAUCAGAAAACAUGAGGGAUUAAUAGAUAAUAUUGUAAAGAGGCAAAGGCAGCAGAUGUUAUUUAGAUGAGCAGAAGGUCACAGACCUCUGUUGAGGAUUGAAAGCUUGAGGUACGUGCCUUUGUUCCUCAGUGUGUGUGGAUCAGAGUGAUUACUGAUAUCAGUUAGCAACAUGGUGGAGGGGACAAACUGGGGCUGCAUUUUCACUAUGUUUAUUAUUGCUCAAGGUCAAAAAGUGACUGUGUAGUGCCUCAGUUUUUACAUCUUUGUGUUAUCAAUAUUUUUUUCUAUUACCUUACAAGUUUAUUUUGAUGCUGUAAUGAUGAGACAGUGUUUUGAAAAGUUCUAAAUAAAUAAAAGGGUAUUCUCUAACUUUUAAAUUCUGACUUUGAUAUUUUAAAACUAUAACAGAGUUUCAAAACAUAUGGAGAAAAAACCCAAAUAGAACUCAAAAGAGAAAUGGACAAAUCCGUAAUUUCCAUCAUUAUUAGGGAUUUCAACAUUCCUCUUCCAGUAAUUAAUAAAACAAGCAGACAGAAGUUUAGAAAAACUAUGCAAGACUUGAACAUACUGUUAACCAAAUUGGCCCAGUCCUCCAAUAGUGGAAAUAAAAUGAAAUACUAAAAUAGUCAAACAAAAGGAAGACAGGACAAGAGUUGAACAAGGAUAAAGAAUAGGUGUGACAAAUGAUACAAAUAACAAUCUGGUAAAGUGAAAACCAGCCAUAUCAAUAAUAUAGUAAAGGAAAAUAGUCUAAAUAGAACGGAAAUGUUUAAGAUUUGAAGACUGGAUAUAAACCAAGCUUCAAUGUGAUGAUAUAUACAAGACAGAUAUUAUAAACAUAAAGAUAUAAAAAAUUAAAAAUAAAAGUGUGAAAAUCUAUAUGAUACAAACACUAACCAUAAGAAUGCUGGAGUGGCAUAUUAUAUCAGACAAAGAGAGUAUUAAAGUAGAUAUAGAAGAACAUUACAUAUUGAUAAAAGAAAAUGCCAGUUAGGUCAAGUUAUUGAUGGUAUUUAUCA
rnacentral:lncRNA from 1 species